UUGAAAGGGAAACGAUUGAAGUCAGUCGUACCAGCGGGAAAUCAACCUUUCGAGUGGGGUUUUGGAGUUUUGAAGAGUGUCAAAACCUUUGAGAUUUCAAAAUUUUCGCUCCUUUGGUGUACUUUCUCGUGGGUAGGUUAACAUCGAUUUCGAUCAUCAUAAAAGGAUUGGAGGAAUGUAGCUUCGAUCUUGUAUUGAAGCGUUAUAGCCUUUGGUAAAUGUGAUGAUUGGGAUCGAGGAUUGCAACGAAUACCCUUUUGGGCUAUCCGCCUGAUCUCUGAUACGUGGCCUUGGUAUCGAAAGCUUGCUUAUGGUAUUAAUAUAUUACGGUCAAAAGGUUAGAACGGAUUNCAUCGCUUAAGGAUGUUGACGUA
rnacentral:rRNA from 1 species